GCCCGGUUAGCUCAAUCGGUAGAGGUCAGUCAAUUUAUCAUAUUCAGAAUCUUCGUCACAGUAUAUUAACAUUUCUGUAGCGUGAGACUCUUAAUCUCAAGGUUGCGGGUUCGACCCCCGCAUCGGGCU